rnacentral:rRNA from 1 species
ACGGGAGGCAGCAGUGGGGAAUAUUGCACAAUGGGCGCAAGCCUGAUGCAGCAACGCCGCGUGAGGGAAGACGGUUUUCGGAUUGUAAACCUCUGUUCUUAGUGACGAAGAAGUGACGGUAGCUAGGGAGCAAGCCACGGCUAACUACGUGCCAGCAGCCGCGGUAAUACGUAGGUGGCAAGCGUUAUCCGGAAUUACUGGGUGUAAAGGGAGCGCAGGCGGGAUAGCAAGUCAGCGGUGAAAUGUAUGGGCUUAACCCAUGAACUGCCGUUGAAACUGUUAUUCUUGAGUGGAGUAGAGGCAGGCGGAAUUCCGAGUGUAGCGGUGAAAUGCGUAGAUAUUCGGAGGAACACCAGUGGCGAAGGCGGCCUGCUGGGCUCUAACUGACGCUGAGGCUCGAAAGUGUGGGGAGCAAACAGGAUUAGAUACCCUGGUA